GUCCACCUAGCUCAGAUGGUAGAGCGCCAGCCUUUUAAGCUGGUGGUCGUGGGUUCAAUUCCCACGGUGGGCG
rnacentral:tRNA from 1 species